rnacentral:rRNA from 1 species
GAUGAACGCUGGCGGCGUGCCUAAUACAUGCAAGUCGAGCGAACAGACGAGGAGCUUGCUCCUCUGACGUUAGCGGCGGACGGAUGAGUAACACGUGGAUAACCUACCUAUAAGACUGGGAUAACUUCGGGAAACCGGAGCUAAUACCGGAUAAUAUAUUGAACCGCAUGGUUAAAUAGUGAAAGACGGUUUUGCUGUCACUUAUAGAUGGAUCCGCGCCGCAUUAGCUAGUUGGUAAGGUAACGGCUUACCAAGGCAACGAUGCGUAGCCGACCUGAGAGAGUGAUCGGCCACACUGGAACUGAGACACGGUCCAGACUCCUACGGGAGGCAGCAGUAGGGAAUCUUCCGCAAUGGGCGAAAGCUUGACGGAGCAACGCCGCGUGAGUGAUGAAGGUCUUCGGAUCGUAAAACUCUGUUAUUAGGGAAGAACAAAUGUGUAAGUAACUAUGCACGUCUUGACGGUACCUAAUCAGAAAGACACGGCUAACUACGUG